UUCCACGUCGUCGGUGCCGCAGCUAACGCAUUAAGUUCCCCGCCUGGGGAGUACGGCCGCAAGGCUAAAACUCAAAGGAAUUGACGGGGGCCCGCACAAGCAGCGGAGCAUGUGGCUUAAUUCGACG
rnacentral:rRNA from 1 species